UUGGACGCGUGGUACAUGCCGGUUCCGAGCACCCGCGCCCACCUGACAGCUGCUCGCGACGUGUUGUUCGCC
rnacentral:sRNA from 1 species